CGAUUCCUUCCGCAGUGUACACUUAUCGAAGCCUCUGCAGCCACGCAAGUGGUAGGUCCAGGCGACUCUAAACAAGUUGGUGCCGCGAUGCAAGUCCAUCCCCCCUCCCGGGGGGUGGGCGACACUUUUGAACUGACGGGGACACCCUAAAGCCAAUCGCACCAACCCGCGCCGGGAAACCGGACGGGGGCCCAUGAGAAAGACAUGGGGCGGUAACAGACGAUUUGGAUGAUUCUGCCGGGGCAGAGAAAUGGGCAAUCCGCAGCGAAGCCCCUACGGCCCCCCUGCACUGGGGGGGCUACGGGGAACGUUCACAGACUAAGUGGAAGUGGGUGGGAUGCCUAAUCCUGCUUAAGAUAUAGUCGGGCCCCCUGGGAUAACCAGGGGGGUAAGUACACUGUACCCUAACCGUUCCGUAGGUGAACCUGCGGAAGGAUCAUUACUGAGUGCGGGCCCCUCGCGGGUCCAACCUCCCACCCGUGUCUCUUGAAUACCCUGUUGCUUUGGCGGGCCCACCGGGACACUCCCGGUCGCCGGGGGGCACUGCGCCCCCGGGCCCGCGCCCGCCAGAGCGCCUAUGAACCCUAAUGAAGAAGGACUGUCUGAGUCUACGAUAUAAUUAUCAAAACUUUCAACAAUGGAUCUCUUGGUUCCGGCAUCGAUGAAGAACGCAGCGAAAUGCGAUAAGUAAUGUGAAUUGCAGAAUUCCGUGAAUCAUCGAAUCUUUGAACGCACAUUGCGCCCCCUGGCAUUCCGGGGGGCAUGCCUGUCCGAGCGUCAUUUCUGCCCUCAAGCCCGGCUUGUGUGUUGGGCGUGGUCCCCCCGGUUUCGGGGGGACCUGCCCGAAAGGCAGCGGCGACGUUCCGCCUAGGUCCUCGAGCGUAUGGGGCUUUGUCACCCGACUCGGGAGGGGCCUACGGGCGUUGGCCAUCCACCAAUU
rnacentral:misc_RNA from 1 species